rnacentral:rRNA from 1 species
UACGUAGGGCGCAAGCGUUAUCCGGAAUUAUUGGGCGUAAAGAGCUCGUAGGCGGUUUGUCGCGUCUGCCGUGAAAGUCCGGGGCUCAACUCCGGAUCUGCGGUGGGUACGGGCAGACUAGAGUGAUGUAGGGGAGACUGGAAUUCCCGGUGUAGUGGUGAAAUGCGUAGAUAUCGGGAGGAACACCAGCGGCGAAGGCGGCGAUCUGGGCCAGUACUGACGCUGAGGAGCGAAAGCGUGGGGAGCGAACAGG